rnacentral:rRNA from 1 species
GACGAACGCUGGCGGCGUGCUUAACACAUGCAAGUCGAACGGAAAGGCCCUGCUUUUGUUGGGUGCUCGAGUGGCGAACGGGUGAGAAACACGUGAGUAACCUGCCCUUGACGUUGGGAUAACUUCAGGAAACUGGGGAUAAUACCGGAUAUGAGCUCCUGCUCCACGGUGGGGGUUGGAAAGUUUCGGCGGUUGGGGAUGGACUCGCGGCUUAUCAGCUUGUUGGUCGGGUAGGGGCUUACCAAGGCUUCGACGGAUAGCCGGCCUGAGAGGUGGGCCGGGCACACGGCGACUAAGAUAGGGCGCAGCAGCCUACGGGAGGCAGAAGUGGGGAGUAUUACACAGUGGGCGGGAGCCUGAGGCAGCGAUGCCGGGUGCGGGAUGAUGGCCUUCGGGUUAUAAACCGCUUUCGACUGUGACGAAGCGUGAGUGACGGUAAUGGGUAAAGAAGCACCGGCUAACUACGUG